AGAAUCAACGCUGGCGGCGUGCCUAACACAUGCAAGUCGAACGCGAAAGCCCCGAAAGGGGCAAGUAGAGUGGCAAACGGGUGAGUAACACGUGGGUGACCUGCCUUCGAGCGGGGGAUAACGUCCCGAAAGGGACGCUAAUACCGCAUGACAUCCUGCCUUUGAAGAGGUGGAGAUCAAAGCUGGGGAUCGCAAGACCUAGCACUCGAAGAGGGGCCCGCGCCUGAUUAGCUAGUUGGUGGGGUAACGGCUCACCAAGGCGACGAUCAGUA
rnacentral:rRNA from 1 species